CUUCUGCCCAUGCUUCCUGGUUCUGAACCUUAGGGCCAGCCUGGCUAGCCUGGGCUAGACAGUUCUGGUUUCCAGGACAGUGUGUGCCAGAUACAGCCCACACCCACGGGAGCCCACAGGGCCUGAGCUGGAGACAACAUUUGCCUCUGAUAAGAUCUUUGUGAGGACCAGGAAGGGCUCCAGGCUGCAGCUCCAGGGCCACCUUCCAGCUUCGAUACCCAUUAUAGUCCAGAGACUCAGAGAAGCACAGAGGAAACUGAGCUCAAGAGAAAUCCCUACCCUGGCUGUUCUUGGCAGGAGAAGAAUUGUGAGGAGACCAGGUGGCAUCUCUCCAUGUCAGUGACCUGCCGCGCUCAAAGCCUGCGAGUGAUCACGGGCUCCUUCCAGCUGCCCAGGGGCUGCAGGAAGUGGCUAUGGCCAGCUCCCACCUCAGAGAUGGGGAAACUUAAGCUCUCAGAAAUGACUUAUCCAAGGCUUCCAAAAUUUGUUGGUGACACUGUCAUAUCACGGUGCCUGACUCUCCAACAUCUGUCCGACUCCAAGACGGUACAGAUGCUCAAUCCAGCAACACAUCUCUAAGGGAGGCCUUAAGAAAGGAA